CGCUGGCGGCAGGCCUAACACAUGCAAGUCGAGCGGAAACAAUCCUAGCUUGCUAGGAGGCGUCGAGCGGCGGACGGGUGAGUAAUGCAUAGGAAUCUGCCCGGUNGUGGGGGAUAACCUGGGGAAACUCACGCUNAUACCGCAUACGCCCUACGGGGGAAAGCGGGGG
rnacentral:rRNA from 1 species